CAGGCUUAGCCUUGUGAUUUAUUCACAUAGGGCCUAUUUCUACUUGAACUAUUAUUGACAAAUCAAGACAACCGUAACUAAAUAAAGACAUGCCGAAAGCUGAGACAAGUAGGAGUCAGAUCUUAAUUAACAAACCAAAUUAAUCUAAUUACUCCUCUAGCCUAAGAACCAACGGUUUAGGGUUAUUAGGAUCGAGUCGCUGUUUCUACCAAUUAUAAAUUGGUCACACUAUAAACUUAACUAAUCCAAACCCUAAUAAUUGUAUACAAGAAAUCUCAUUACCCAAUUCAUUCCAAAAAUGCCAUAAUUAUCCAAAUAAGCUCUGAACCGCUCGUUUGUUGCCCACUAAACCCGAAACUAUAGAAUAAUGUCUGUCUCACUAGGCUUGAUACUCAUCACGGGUGGUAAACCAAGAUAGUGCCCAGAAUUACUGAACUUAGGCUGCAAUCUAAGUGCUUUAAAUAUGCGAAUCCCGUAGAUUGAAAUAUGGAACUUAAGUGAAACUAGUGACUUUGUUCUUUCAUGAAGUUGUGACUUUCGGACCGUCGAUUCAUGGACAAAGCCGGGGUACCGACUAAAGAUAUUUCCUAAUACAUAUCCGUAUAGCCAAGGCCCCAAUUGAUCAUCAGUGACCGUCGAUCUAAGUUAUGGCCUUCCCGAUUAAUACGCACGUCCGAUCAUCGGAUGGUUGUGUCUAAACAUAGAUCGCCUAUUGAGACACUCAUUACAUGACUUAGAUUGACCUGUACGCCUCCUAGUGAGUCUCAUUGAUUAGAAACAACCCCCUCCAGGGUCAAUAUAAUGAAUAAAGGGCCAUUAGGGCCAUAUGCACCUAAUCUAGUAUUAUAAAUAUGGCAUUUGGGGGCCUCCUUUGCUCCCAUACGAAUUUCAUACCUUAUAAGAGAAAGAAAAAAAAAUGGAAAGAGAAAGAGAAGAAAAGAAAAAGAGGAAGAGAGUUGUGAGAGAGAGAGAGAGAAGGACCUUGGUGCUUCGGGGUUAAUAGUUCAUCAAUCAAACCCUUUAACUUACCGAAUCCUUCGCCAAAUCUACCGUCACUCGCAACUAAAGGUAAGACUUACUUUCAACAAUUCAAUUUCACAACUUAUACCUCAUUUACUUAUAAUUAACAAUACUUCCUUGCUUGACAUUAGGAAUUAGUGAUUUUACCCAAAUUCACAAUCCUAGGAGCUCAAAGAUUGAAAAUUCCUUCUUAAGGUUCUAUCGAAGCCUCUGGCGAGUUGGCUCAUAUCAGCUUGGACUUUCGUCGUGAUGCCUUGGGAGUGUCGAGCGAAGCUAGAAGACUUUGCUUUUAUUCCUGUUUUGUGCUUGUAUAUGUUAGAAUCCCUGAUCGGGCAUGCUUUAUGUGUAAGUUUUGUUGUACGUUCAUUAUGACUUGUAUAAUCCCCAUUUUAGGCGUUCACUAUUACUGGAAUUGUAUUUUUUACCAUUAGCAUUAUAUUUAUGGAUUUCUGUUAUCUUUA